GACGUAGGGCGCGAGCGUUGUCCGGAUUUAUUGGGCGUAAAGGGUGCGUAGGCGGCGCGGUAAGUCGGGUGUGAAAUCUCGGAGCUUAACUCCGAAACUGCAUUCGAUACUGCCGUGCUUGAGGACUGGAGAGGAGACUGGAAUUUACGGUGUAGCGGUGAAAUGCGUAGAUAUCAGGAGGAACACCGGUGGCGAAGGCGGUUCUCUGGGCCUUACCUGACACUGAGGAGCGAAAGCGUGGGGAGCGAACAGG
rnacentral:rRNA from 1 species